rnacentral:rRNA from 1 species
CCUACGGGUGGCAGCAGUCGAGAAUCAUUCACAAUGGGGGAAACCCUGAUGGUGCGACGCCGCGUGUGGGAAUGAAGGUCUUCGGAUUGUAAACCCCUGUCAUGUGGGAGCAAAUUAAAAAGAUAGUACCACAAGAGGAAGAGACGGCUAACUCUGUGCCCACCGCCGCGGUAAUACAGAGGUCUCACGCGUUGUUCGGAAUCACUGGGCUUAAAGCGUGCGUCGGCUGUUUCGUAAGGCGUGUGUGAAAGGCGCGGGCUCAAACCGCGGACGGCACAUGAGACUGCGAGACGAGAGUAAUGGAGGGGGAACCGGAAUUCUGGGUGUAGCAGUGAAAUGCGUAGAUAUCGAGAGGAACACGCGGGGCGAAGGCGGGUUCCUGGACAUUAACUGACGCUGAGGCACGAAGGCCAGGGGAGCGAAAGCGUGGGUAGCAAACAGGAUUAGAUACCCUAGUAGUC